rnacentral:rRNA from 1 species
UAGGGAAUAUUGCUCAAUGGGCGAAAGCCUGAAGCAGCAACGCCGCGUGGAGGAUGACACUUUUCGGAGCGUAAACUCCUUUUGUUGGGGAAGAAACUUGACGGUACCCAACGAAUAAGCACCGGCUAAUUCCGUGCCAGCAGCCGCGGUAAUACGGAAGGUCCGGGCGUUAUCCGGAUUUAUUGGGUUUAAAGGGAGCGUAGGCCGGAGAUUAAGCGUGUUGUGAAAUGCCGCGGCUCAACCGUGGCACUGCAGCGCGAACUGGUUUUCUUGAGUGCGCGCGACGCAGGCGGAAUUCGUGGUGUAGCGGUGAAAUGCUUAGAUAUCACGAGGAACCCCCGAUUGCGAAGGCAGCUUGCGGGAGCGCAACUGACGCUGAAGCUCGAAGGUGCGGGUAUCGAACAGGAUUAGAUACCCUGGUAGU